AUUGCCUUAGUAACGGCGAGUGAAGCGGCAAAAGCUCAAAUUUGAAAUCUGGCACCUUCGGUGUCCGAGUUGUAAUUUGAAGAAGGUAACUUUGGAGUUGGCUCUUGUCUAUGUUCCUUGGAACAGGACGUCACAGAGGGUGAGAAUCCCGUGCGAUGAGAUGCCCAAUUCUAUGUAAAGUGCUUUCGAAGAGUCGAGUUGUUUGGGAAUGCAGCUCUAAGUGGGUGGUAAAUUCCAUCUAAAGCUAAAUAUUGGCGAGAGACCGAUAGCGAACAAGUACAGUGAUGGAAAGAUGAAAAGAACUUUGAAAAGAGAGUGAAAAAGUACGUGAAAUUGUUGAAAGGGAAGGGCUUGAGAUCAGACUUGGUAUUUUGCGAUCCUUUCCUUCUUGGUUGGGUUCCUCGCAGCUUACUGGGCCAGCAUCGGUUUGGAUGGUAGGAUAAUGACUAAGGAAUGUGGCUCUACUUCGGUGGAGUGUUAUAGCCUUGGUUGAUACUGCCUGUCUAGACCGAGGACUGCGU
rnacentral:rRNA from 1 species